rnacentral:rRNA from 1 species
GACGAACGCUGGCGGCGUGCUUAACACAUGCAAGUCGAACGCUGAAGCUCAGCUUGCUGGGUGGAUGAGUGGCGAACGGGUGAGUAACACGUGAGUAACCUGCCCUCUUCUUUGGGAUAACGCCCGGAAACGGGUGCUAAUACUGGAUAUUCACUGAUUCUCGCAUGGGGGUUGGUGGAAAGGUUUUUUCUGGUGGGGGAUGGGCUCGCGGCCUAUCAGCUUGUUGGUGGGGUGAUGGCCUACCAAGGCUUUGACGGGUAGCCGGCCUGAGAGGGUGACCGGUCACAUUGGGACUGAGAUACGGCCCAGACUCCUACGGGAGGCAGCAGUGGGGAAUAUUGCACAAUGGGCGAAAGCCUGAUGCAGCGACGCCGCGUGAGGGAUGGAGGCCUUCGGGUUGUAAACCUCUUUCGCUCAUGGGCAAGCCGCAGCUUUGGGUUGUGGUGAGGGUAGUGGGUAAAGAAGCGCCGGCUAACUACGUG